CUUCCGUAGGGUGAACCUGCGGAAGGAU
rnacentral:rRNA from 1 species